UUGUGUAGAAUAGGUGGUAGACUUUGAAGCCGUGGCGCCAGCCAUGGUGGAGUCGAAAUGUGAAAUACCACCCUAAUGGUUAUGGAUAUCUAACCGCAUCCCUUUAGCGGGGAUCGGGACAGCGCAUGGUGGGCAGUUUGACUGGGGCGGUCGCCUCCCAAAGAGUAACGGAGGCGUGCGAAGGUAGGCUCAGAACGGUCGGAAAUCGUUCGUCGAGUAUAAUGGCAUAAGCCUGCCUGACUGCGAGACUUACGAGUCGAGCAGAGACGAAAGUCGGUCAUAGUGAUCCGGUGGUCCCGCGUGGGUGGGCCAUCGCUCAACGGAUAAAAGGUACGCCGGGG
rnacentral:rRNA from 1 species